GAUGAACGCUAGCGACAGGCUUAACACAUGCAAGUCGAGGGGCAGCAUAGAAGUAGCAAUACUUUGGUGGCGACCGGCGCACGGGUGAGUAACGCGUAUGCAACCUACCUAUCAGAGGGGAAUAACCCGGCGAAAGUCGGACUAAUACCGCAUAAAACAGGGGCACCGCAUGGUGAUAUUUGUUAAAGAAAUUCGCUGAUAGAUGGGCAUGCGUUCCAUUAGGUAGUUGGUGAGGUAACGACUCACCAAGCCGACGAUGGAUAGGGGAACUGAGAGGUUGGUCCCCCACACUGGUACUGAGACACGGACCAGACUCCUACGGGAGGCAGCAGUGAGGAAUAUUGGUCAAUGGGCGAGAGCCUGAACCAGCCAAGUCGCGUGAAGGAAGAAGGAUCUAUGGUUCGUAAACUUCUUUUGCAGGGGAAUAAAGUGCAGGACGUGUCCUGUUUUGUAUGUACCCUGAGAAUAAGGAUCGGCUAACUCCGUGCCAGCCGCCGCGGUAAAAC
rnacentral:rRNA from 1 species